rnacentral:rRNA from 1 species
UACGGAGGGGGCUAGCGUUGUUCGGAAUUACUGGGCGUAAAGCGCACGUAGGCGGCUUUGCAAGUUAGAGGUGAAAGCCCAGGGCUCAACCCUGGAAUUGCCUUUAAAACUGCAUCGCUAGAAUUGUGGAGAGGUAAGUGGAAUUCCGAGUGUAGAGGUGAAAUUCGUAGAUAUUCGGAAGAACACCAGUGGCGAAGGCGACUUACUGGACACAUAUUGACGCUGAGGUGCGAAAGCGUGGGGAGCAAACAGG